UACGUAGGGCGCAAGCGUUAUCCGGAAUUAUUGGGCGUAAAGAGCUCGUAGGCGGCUGCUCAAGUCGAAUGUGAAAACUCGAGGCUCAACCUCGAGCCUGCAUUCGAUACUGGGCGGCUAGAGUCUGGUAGGGGGAUCUGGAAUUCCUGGUGUAGCGGUGGAAUGCGCAGAUAUCAGGAGGGACACCGGUGGCGAAGGCGGGAUCCUGGGCCAGUACUGACGCUGAGGAGCGAAAGCGUGGGGAGCAAACAGG
rnacentral:rRNA from 1 species